UUUGGCGGAGCCAUCCUUGGGAUACCACCCUUGUAGUACUGGGACUCUAACCAUAGGCCAUGAAUCUGGUCUUGGGACACUGUCAGGUGGGCAGUUUGACUGGGGCGGUCGCCUCCCAAAAGGUAACGGAGGCGCUCAAAGGUUCUCUCAGUACGGUCGGAAAUCGUACGUAGAGUGUAAAGGCAAAAGAGAGCUUGAUUGCAAGACAUACAGGUCGAGCAAGGAUGAAAAUCGGACUUAGUGAUCCGGUGGUUCUGCGUGGAAGGGCCAUCGCUCAACGGAUAAAAGCUACCCUGGGGAUAACAGGCUUAUCUCCCCCAAGAGUCCACAUCGACGGGGAGGUUUGGCACCUCGAUGUCGGCUCAUCACAUCCUGGGGCUGUAGUAGGUCCCAAGGGUUGGGCUGUUCGCCCAUUAAAGUGGUACGCGAGCUGGGUUCAGAACGUCGUGAGACAGUUCGGUCCCUAUCCGUCGCAGGCGUAGGAAAUUUGAGAAGACCUGUCCUUAGUACGAGAGGACCGGGAUGGACGUACCUCUGGUGUACCAGUUGUCCUGCCAAGGG
rnacentral:rRNA from 1 species